rnacentral:rRNA from 1 species
GGGUUGUGAGGUUAAGCGACUAAGCGUACACGGUGGAUGCCCUGGCAGUCAGAGGCGAUGAAGGACGUGCUAAUCUGCGAUAAGCGUCGGUAAGGUGAUAUGAACCGUUAUAACCGGCGAUUUCCGAAUGGGGAAACCCAGUGUGUUUCGACACACUAUCAUUAACUGAAUCCAUAGGUUAAUGAGGCGAACCGGGGGAACUGAAACAUCUAAGUACCCCGAGGAAAAGAAAUCAACCGAGAUUCCCCCAGUAGCGGCGAGCGAACGGGGAGCAGCCCAGAGCCUGAAUCAGUGUGUGUGUUAGUGGAAGCGUCUGGAAAGGCGCGCGAUACAGGGUGACAGCCCCGUACACAAAAAUGCACAUACUGUGAGCUCGAUGAGUAGGGCGGGACACGUGGUAUCCUGUCUGAAUAUGGGGGGACCAUCCUCCAAGGCUAAAUACUCCUGACUGACCGAUAGUGAACCAGUACCGUGAGGGAAAGGCGAAAAGAACCCCGGCGAGGGGAGUGAAAAAGAACCUGAAACCGUGUACGUACAAGCAGUGGGAGCCUCUUUUAUGGGGUGACUGCGUACCUUUUGUAUAAUGGGUCAGCGACUUAUAUUCUGUAGCAAGGUUAACCGAAUAGGGGAGCCGAAGGGAAACCGAGUCUUAACCGGGCGUUAAGUUGCAGGGUAUAGACCCGAAACCCGGUGAUCUAGCCAUGGGCAGGUUGAAGGUUGGGUAACACUAACUGGAGGACCGAACCGACUAAUGUUGAAAAAUUAGCGGAUGACUUGUGGCUGGGGGUGAAAGGCCAAUCAAACCGGGAGAUAGCUGGUUCUCCCCGAAAGCUAUUUAGGUAGCGCCUCGUGAAUUCAUCUCCGGGGGUAGAGCACUGUUUCGGCAAGGGGGUCAUCCCGACUUACCAACCCGAUGCAAACUGCGAAUACCGGAGAAUGUUAUCACGGGAGACACACGGCGGGUGCUAACGUCCGUCGUGAAGAGGGAAACAACCCAGACCGCCAGCUAAGGUCCCAAAGUCAUGGUUAAGUGGGAAACGAUGUGGGAAGGCCCAGACAGCCAGGAUGUUGGCUUAGAAGCAGCCAUCAUUUAAAGAAAGCGUAAUAGCUCACUGGUCGAGUCGGCCUGCGCGGAAGAUGUAACGGGGCUAAACCAUGCACCGAAGCUGCGGCAGCGACACUGUGUGUUGUUGGGUAGGGGAGCGUUCUGUAAGCCUGUGAAGGUGUACUGUAAGGUAUGCUGGAGGUAUCAGAAGUGCGAAUGCUGACAUAAGUAACGAUAAAGCGGGUGAAAAGCCCGCUCGCCGGAAGACCAAGGGUUCCUGUCCAACGUUAAUCGGGGCAGGGUGAGUCGACCCCUAAGGCGAGGCCGAAAGGCGUAGUCGAUGGGAAACAGGUUAAUAUUCCUGUACUUGGUGUUACUGCGAAGGGGGGACGGAGAAGGCUAUGUUGGCCGGGCGACGGUUGUCCCGGUUUAAGCGUGUAGGCUGGUUUUCCAGGCAAAUCCGGAAAAUCAAGGCUGAGGCGUGAUGACGAGGCACUACGGUGCUGAAGCAACAAAUGCCCUGCUUCCAGGAAAAGCCUCUAAGCAUCAGGUAACAUCAAAUCGUACCCCAAACCGACACAGGUGGUCAGGUAGAGAAUACCAAGGCGCUUGAGAGAACUCGGGUGAAGGAACUAGGCAAAAUGGUGCCGUAACUUCGGGAGAAGGCACGCUGAUAUGUAGGUGAAGUCCCUCGCGGAUGGAGCUGAAAUCAGUCGAAGAUACCAGCUGGCUGCAACUGUUUAUUAAAAACACAGCACUGUGCAAACACGAAAGUGGACGUAUACGGUGUGACGCCUGCCCGGUGCCGGAAGGUUAAUUGAUGGGGUCAGCGCAAGCGAAGCUCUUGAUCGAAGCCCCGGUAAACGGCGGCCGUAACUAUAACGGUCCUAAGGUAGCGAAAUUCCUUGUCGGGUAAGUUCCGACCUGCACGAAUGGCGUAAUGAUGGCCAGGCUGUCUCCACCCGAGACUCAGUGAAAUUGAACUCGCUGUGAAGAUGCAGUGUACCCGCGGCAAGACGGAAAGACCCCGUGAACCUUUACUAUAGCUUGACACUGAACAUUGAGCCUUGAUGUGUAGGAUAGGUGGGAGGCUUUGAAGUGUGGACGCCAGUCUGCAUGGAGCCGACCUUGAAAUACCACCCUUUAAUGUUUGAUGUUCUAACGUGGACCCGUGAUCCGGGUUGCGGACAGUGUCUGGUGGGUAGUUUGACUGGGGCGGUCUCCUCCUAAAGAGUAACGGAGGAGCACGAAGGUUGGCUAAUCUUGGUCGGACAUCAGGAGGUUAGUGCAAUGGCAUAAGCCAGCUUGACUGCGAGCGUGACGGCGCGAGCAGGUGCGAAAGCAGGUCAUAGUGAUCCGGUGGUUCUGAAUGGAAGGGCCAUCGCUCAACGGAUAAAAGGUACUCCGGGGAUAACAGGCUGAUACCGCCCAAGAGUUCAUAUCGACGGCGGUGUUUGGCACCUCGAUGUCGGCUCAUCACAUCCUGGGGCUGAAGUAGGUCCCAAGGGUAUGGCUGUUCGCCAUUUAAAGUGGUACGCGAGCUGGGUUUAGAACGUCGUGAGACAGUUCGGUCCCUAUCUGCCGUGGGCGCUGGAGAACUGAGGGGGGCUGCUCCUAGUACGAGAGGACCGGAGUGGACGCAUCACUGGUGUUCGGGUUGUCAUGCCAAUGGCACUGCCCGGUAGCUAAAUGCGGAAGAGAUAAGUGCUGAAAGCAUCUAAGCACGAAACUUGCCCCGAGAUGAGUUCUCCCUGACCCUUUAAGGGUCCUGAAGGAACGUUGAAGACGACGACGUUGAUAGGCCGGGUGUGUAAGCGCAGCGAUGCGUUGAGCUAACCGGUACUAAUGAACCGUGAGGCUUAACCUUACAACGCCGAAGGUGUUU